UACGUAGGGGGCAAGCGUUGUCCGGAAUCAUUGGGCGUAAAGCGCGCGUAGGUGGCCCGGUAAGUCCGCUGUAAAAGUCCAGGGCUCAACCCUGGAAAGCCGGUGGAUACUGUCGGGCUAGAGUCCGGAAGAGGCGAGUGGAAUUCCUGGUGUAGCGGUGGAAUGCGCAGAUAUCAGGAGGAACACCGAUGGCGAAGGCAGCUCGCUGGGACGGUACUGACGCUGAGGCGCGAAAGCGUGGGGAGCGAACAGG
rnacentral:rRNA from 1 species